rnacentral:rRNA from 1 species
GACGAACGCUGGCGGCGUGCUUAACACAUGCAAGUCGAACGGUAAGGCCCUUCGGGGUACACGAGUGGCGAACGGGUGAGUAACACGUGGGUGAUCUGCGCUGCACUUCGGGAUAAGCCUGGGAAACUGGGUCUAAUACCGGAUAGGACUCCGGACUGCAUGGUCGGGGGUGGAAAGCUUUUGCGGUGUGGGAUGGGCCCGCGGCCUAUCAGCUUGUUGGUGGGGUGAUGGCCUACCGAGGCGACGGCGGGUAGCCGGCCUGAGAGGGUGACCGGCCACACUGGGACUGAGAUACGGCCCAGACUCCUACGGGAGGCAACAGUGGGGAAUAUUGCACAAUGGGCGCAAGCCUGAUGCAGCGACGCCGCGUGAGGGAUGACGGCCUUCGGGUUGUAAACCUCUUUCAGCACAGACGAAGCGCAAGUGACGGUAUGUGCAGAAGAAGGACCGGCCAACUACGUGCCAGCAGCCGCGGUAA